CUCUAAACCAAUAUUAUCUUCUUGUAGAGUCAUUUCUGUCCUUCUCUUAGAAUGGCCGGAGGCCAAGACAUUAGUAUGACAGAAAGUUCGGAGUCCAAGUUGGAUGCUAUCAAGAAUGCCCUCGCUACGUUAUCACAAAGAACUACAGAGAUUGAAAGAGUCGUGGCAAGGCUUCAUAAUGAUGGAGCAUCUUGAAUUGCACAAUUUAGGUUGCA
rnacentral:lncRNA from 1 species